rnacentral:piRNA from 1 species
UCUUCAGGACAAUAUGGGCGG